CUCUCUCUCUGUUUUAAGAUUUUAAAUUGUAUUAUGAUGUGAAGUUUGGGAGAAAACGGGAGACUGAGCAGCAAGAUGGGUCAGUGCAUCUAGUUGAUCAACGAUCAGUCACUAAUGGGCAUUCUUGGAAUAUGGUGGUUGAGAAUGGAAAUAUCAAAAACACAUCUGAUAUGGCCAUUUUUGAGCAGUUCUAGAGUCAGGAGAGGGAUGGCACCACACAACUUCCUGUAUCUCUUUCUGGGCGAACUGACGAAAAGCCGCAAAGGUCUCUGCUUCCUGCUUUUGAAUCUGCAGAAAUGCGCACCUUAGUAGAGAGUUUAAGUAGGGAUAUCAUUCGUGGGAAUCCAGAUGUGAAGUGGGAAAGCAUCAAGGGGUUAGAGAAUGCAAAGCGCCUUCUUAAGGAAGUAGUUUUGAUGCCAA